rnacentral:lncRNA from 1 species
CUUAAGAUGACUUCUCAUUCUUAGGUCCUAGAAAAUGCUUUUUAAAAUUCCAUCUUCCUUUCCCAAAUGGAAACAACAAUGUCAUACCAAUCAGGUUGGAAAAAAAAUGAGAAAUUUGGAUAAUGCCAUGUGCUGAGUACCAGUGUCCUCGAAGAAACCUGUCAGUAUUCAGGGAAAUGAAGUACUGCACGCCUUCUGACCCCACCAUCCCACUCCUGGGGAGACUCCGGGGAAACACUCACGUGGUCCCAGUGGGUCACCCACAUGGUGGGGCAUCGGAGGCAAUCUAGUGUCCACCCCUGGAACAGCGGACAUCUCUAGAGAAACUCUGCAGCAGUCAGAAACAUCGAAUGAGAUAAUGCACAGCAACUCAGGUGAAUGUAAUGACUGAUUAACGAACGAAGACUCCACCUUCUCUUCCUCUCGUGGAUCCCAGCGAACUUCCAGGGCAUGGGUUGGCAUAGGUUUGAAGAAGGUUUCUCGGCCUCUGCACUGUCUACAUUUUGGGCCCGCUGAGUCUUUGUAGUUGGGGCUGGCCUGUGCAUUGUAGGAUGUUUAGCAGUUUCCCUGGUGUCCACCUACCAGAUGCCAGUUGCACCUACCAAGUUCUGACACCCAAAAUGUCUUCAGACAUCGCCAAAUGUCCCCUGGGGGACAAAAAUCACCCCUGGUUGAGAACCACUGGGUUGGAAUACAAGCCUGAAAAACCGCUCCCAGUCUGCCAGAAGGUCAAGACCACAGUGACCUCUGGACUCCAGCCCCUGGCUAAGAAUGCAAUCUACCUGUCCAUGGGCCAGUGUGACUCAAGAUGUCAAGGGAUGGUGAUCACUGAGAGACCAAAGAUUUCCUCUGAAUUUGCCUGGAUUUUCACACUUGAUUGUUCACUGUCAAAAGGAAGAACAGGUGUACCUACAGCAACCUGGCUGCAGAAAUCUACAUUCUCCUUAUUCUGAGAAACCCCUCAAAAUACUACCACCAAAGUAGAAACCAAAUUUAUCCUGAAUUGACAUGUACCCCCUAACCCCAGCCCAACUCCAUACUCCUCUCUGUCAAGGAAGCAAAAUCAAUUUCCUUUGCUUUAGAUACCAGCAUGUAGGCUUGUGGACUUCCAAAUGCUGUCUUCCAAGAACUUGGAGUUUAAACAUGAUCCCUUGGAUGAUAUGUCCAAAGAAGUUCUCACUGAAAUUCCCCGCAUCGUAAAAUGUCAGGA